rnacentral:rRNA from 1 species
AGGACGAACGCUGGCGGCGUGCUUAACACAUGCAAGUCGAACGGUAAGGCCCCUUCGGGGGUACACGAGUGGCGAACGGGUGAGUAACACGUGGGUAAUCUGCCCUGCACUUCGGGAUAAGCCUGGGAAACUGGGUCUAAUACCGGAUAUGAGCUCCUGCCGCAUGGGUGGGGGUUGGAAAGUUUUUCGGUGCAGGAUGAGUCCGCGGCCUAUCAGCUUGUUGGUGGGUAAUGGCCUACCAAGGCGACGACGGGUAGCCGGCCUGGAGAGGGUGAGUCGGCCACACGUGGGACUGGAGACACGGCCCAGACCUCCGUACGGGAGCAGCAGGUGGGAAUAUGCACAAGUGGGCGAAGCCUAGAUGCAGCGACGCCGGCGGUGGGGAUGGACGUCGUUACGG